CCUGCUCCCACCCUAAAUCUCCCAGACGCGGUCAAGAGACUAGAAAAGCCUGGGAACAAUUCUGUAUAAGUUGCAGAAUAAGGAGAUGUGCCCUCCAUCUGCCAGAGGCAUCUCAGCAAGAAGCAGUGUAGAAAAGCUGCAGAAGGAGUCCCAGCCAGCAGGGAAUCUGUGGAGGAGCCAGAACUGGCGCGAGUGUAACCCUGAACAGAGUGCCACACACAAGCUGUGACAGACGAUGACUGGAGCUAGAUCCUGAGACAAGCUGUGAGAUCUGUGACGAGAUCUCUGAACCUGCUCUCUGGAACAGCUUCUACCCAGCCUCGUCAUCUGUUCAUCUUAAGAACCCUGUAAACUUGGAAGAGAACACCAUCAAGAGUCAGGCUGCUUGAGCCAAGAAUGUUUUAUGAAUGGGAAUCUGGCUCCUGAAGUUUUGGGCAUCUCAUCAGAAGUGAUGCCAACGCUUUCUCUUCAGUGACGUGAAAAUGGAUAAAAUUCUGAAGGCCUCCUUUCCAUGUAGCCACAGACCUGCACAUGGCCUAUUCCUGUAUUUGUUAAUUCUAUGCUACUCAUAAUCUGCAAAGUUUUGAAGGAAGGAAAAUCCCUAACACUCUCCCUGUGAAUAAUUAAAACACC
ensembl:lincRNA Gm38839 predicted gene, 38839